rnacentral:sRNA from 1 species
UUGCUGGACAAAUUUAAGGAUCUAUGUGAAAAAGUUCAUGAUAAAUUCAACAAUAACAAGGGCUUCGAGACUCUGGUGGUUGUUCCCUCUCACCCCCAUGGCUGCCCUAAGCAGAUUUCAGUUGGUAAAUGGACAAAGCGCUUUGACAUGGUAGAGUCUUACUAUACUGCCUUCACUUACAAUGCUUCGACAUGUCCUGGCAGCAGUGGGGCUCCCUUGUUCAUCAUGGCUCGAGAUGUUUCUUGGUGGCCCUACACCUUCAUACACAGUGGCUCCAACCUAGAAGGUAAUCAUUGUGGAGCAACAUGGGAGGCUUGAUCCAGUGAGUAAUUUACAAUCUAAGCAGUUGAAUUCCUUUGGAGACUGUAGAUGCCAGUGGAGCAGAUGAUGUAGAUGUUGUGUUUCUGUGACAUAAAGUUAGUGAAGGCAUCAGAUCAAUCACAACCACUAUUACAUUCCUCAAGUAAUGCCAAGUCCUCAAUUGUGCUGCUUUUGUCAGUGAAGUCAUAUAUUAAGUAUAAAAUUUCUAGCAUAAAAGAUUCAAACAUUGAUUGUUCUGGUAAAGCACUUACCACUUGGCCUACUAUACCAGUAUUUCAUAUAAACAGCAGACAUGAAAAUACUUCUACUCUAUAAUGACUAUAGAAGUGGAGAUUAUCAAGGACAGAGCUAUGGAAAGUGUGUCAUCUGAGGUGCAAAGGCGUAAGAAAUUAAAUGAACAGUAUACAGUAGAUAUGCUAAAAUUGUUCUACAUGUGUUCCUUGACAAGCAAUGUUAUUGUUUUGAGAAUUUACCAUAUUUUUCUGCACUUUGUUCACAUCUCAGUAUUACUAUGCUCUUUUGUAUUAGAUGUUUAACAAACAAUUGCGAUUCGAGCUUAUAGGUCAAUAUAUUCAAUUUGUAUUUCGAUAUAUUUUUAGACAAAUAGAUGCCACUUCUUUAAAAGCAGAGACUACAGACCCUUAGUCUUUGCUCAUGGGCACUUAGCCUUUGCUUAUAGGCCCUCAGUAUUUGCUGACUCUUGUCUUUUAUUAUUGACCUCAUUAAGUCUCUACUGACAUGUAUACACUAUAAUAUCCUUACUCUAGUUAAUUAAUACAUAACAGUACCUGACAGUAUGUAACACCAUUUUAGAAUUAUUUUUUCUCUUGAGUAUUAGCAACCACCUUUUAGUAAAGCCUAUAUUGUUGUGCUAUCUGCCCAUAUUCAUCUGUCAUCUGUAUAUCUCACAAGCAAGAGGCCCAAUAAAAAAGACGCCAUUUCA